AGAAUUGCGUUUGGACAAUCAG
rnacentral:miRNA from 7 species